CCUACGGGUGGCAGCAGUGAGGAAUAUUGGUCAAUGGACGAGAGUCUGAACCAGCCAAGUAGCGUGAAGGAUGACUGCCCUAUGGGUUGUAAACUUCUUUUAUAUGGGAAUAAAACGUUCCACGUGUGGGAUUUUGUAUGUACCCUAUGAAUAAGGAUCGACUAACUCCGUGCCAGCAGCCGCGGUAAUACGGAGGAUCCGAGCGUUAUCCGGAUUUAUUGGGUUUAAAGGGAGCGUAGGUGGAUUGUUAAGUCAGUUGUGAAAGUUUGCGGCUCAACCGUAAAAUUGCAGUUGAAACUGGCAGUCUUGAGUACAGUAGAGGUGGGCGGAAUUCGUGGUGUAGCGGUGAAAUGCUUAGAUAUCACGAAGAACUCCGAUUGCGAAGGCAGUUCACUGGACUGCAACUGACACUGAGGCUCGAAAGUGUGGGUAUCAAACAGGAUUAGAUACCCCCAGUAGUC
rnacentral:rRNA from 1 species